rnacentral:tRNA from 1 species
GGUUUGUGGCUCAGUGGUAGAGUGCUUGCCUAGUAUGUGCCAGGCGCUGGGAUCGAUCCUCAGUACCA